rnacentral:rRNA from 1 species
GGGGAAUAUUGGACAAUGGGCGAAAGCCUGAUCCAGCCAUGCCGCGUGGGUGAAGAAGGCCCUAGGGUUGUAAAGCCCUUUCGGCGGGGACGAUGAUGACGGUACCCGCAGAAGAAGCCCCGGCUAACUUCGUGCCAGCAGCCGCGGUAAUACGAAGGGGGCUAGCGUUGCUCGGAAUUACUGGGCGUAAAGGGCGCGUAGGCUGUCAUGUUAGUCGGGUGUGAAACCCCCGGGCUCAACCUGGGAACUGCACUCGAUACGGCAUGGCUUGAGGACGAGAGAGGGUGGUGGAACUCCCAGUGUAGAGGUGAAAUUCGUAGAUAUUGGGAAGAACACCAGUGGCGAAGGCGGCCACCUGGCUCGUUCCUGACGCUGAGGCGCGAAAGCGUGGGGAGCAAACAGGAUUAGAUACCCUGGUAGUCCACGCCGUAAACGAUGUGCGCUGGAUGUUGGGUGACAUAGUCACUCAGUGUCGAAGCUAACGCGAUAAGCGCACCGACUGGGGAGUACGGCCGCAAAGUUGAAACUCGAAGGAAUGAAGGGGCCCGCACAGCGGUGGA